GCUGGUCUGAGAGGAUGACCAGCCACACUGGAACUGAGACACGGUCCAGACUCCUACGGGAGGCAGCAGUGGGGAAUAUUGCACAAUGGGCGCAAGCCUGAUGCAGCCAUGCCGCGUGUGUGAAGAAGGCCUUCGGGUUGUAAAGCACUUUCAGUCAGGAGGAAAGGUUAGUAGUUAAUACCUGCUAGCUGUGACGUUACUGACAGAAGAAGCACCGGCUAACUCCGUGCCAGCAGCCGCGGUAAUACGGAGGGUGCGAGCGUUAAUCGGAAUUACUGGGCGUAAAGCGUACGCAGGCGGUUUGUUAAGCGAGAUGUGAAAGCCCCGGGCUUAACCUGGGAACUGCAUUUCGAACUGGCAGACUAGAGUGUGAUAGAGGGUGGUAGAAUUUCAGGUGUAGCGGUGAAAUGCGUAGAGAUCNUNGNAANNGGGAUACCGAUGGCGAAGGCAGCCACCUGGGUCAACACUGACGCUCAUGUACGAAAGCGUGGGGAGCAAACAGAGAUUAGAUACCCUGGUAGUCCACGCCGUAAACGAUGUCUACUAAAAGCUGGGGUCCUCGGACAACUUUUUCAAAGCUAACGCAUUAAGUAGACCGCCUGGGGAGUACGGCCGCAAGGUUNAUUACUCAAAUGAAUUGACGGGGGCCCGCACAAGCGGUGGAGCAUGUGGUUUAAUUCGAUGCAACGCGAAGAACCUUACCUACACUUGACAUACAGAGAACUUUCCAGAGAUGGAUUGGUGCCUUCGGGAACUCUGAUACAGGUGCUGCAUGGCUGUCGUCAGCUCGUGUUGUGAGAUGUUGGGUUAAGUCCCGCAACGAGCGCAACCCCUAUCCUUAGUUGCCAGCGAUUUUUUUCUGGAACUCUAAGGAGACUGCCGGUGAUAAACCGGAGGAAGGUGGGGACGACGUCAAGUCAUCAUGGCCCUUACGUGUAGGGCUACACACGUGCUACAAUGGCGCAUACAGAGUGCUGCGAACUUGCGAGAGUAAGCGAAUCACUUAAAGUGCGUCAUAGUCCGGA
rnacentral:rRNA from 1 species